UACGUAGGGUGCAGGCGUUAAUCGGAAUUACUGGGCGUAAAGCGUGCGCAGGCGGUUUCUUAAGUCAGAUGUGAAAGCCCCGGGCUUAACCUGGGAACUACGUUUGAAACUGGGAGACUUGAGUGUGGCAGAGGGGGGUGGAAUUCCACGUGUAGCAGUGAAAUGCGUAGAUAUGUGGAGGAACACCAAUGGCGAAGGCAGCCCCCUGGGUCAACACUGACGCUCAUGCACGAAAGCGUGGGGAGCAAACAGG
rnacentral:rRNA from 1 species